rnacentral:rRNA from 1 species
UACGUAGGGUCCGAGCGUUGUCCGGAAUUACUGGGCGUAAAGAGCUCGUAGGUGGUUUGUCGCGUUGUUCGUGAAAACUCACAGCUUAACUGUGGGCGUGCGGGCGAUACGGGCAGACUGGAGUACUGCAGGGGAGACUGGAAUUCCUGGUGUAGCGGUGGAAUGCGCAGAUAUCAGGAGGAACACCGGUGGCGAAGGCGGGUCUCUGGGCAGUAACUGACGCUGGAGGAGCGAAAGCCGUGGGGGAGCGAACAGG